GUCGCUAUCGUCCAGUGGUUAAGACGGCACGUUGUGGUGAAGAUCCCGUGCAAACCUGUGUUCGAUUCACAGUGGCGACA